CUACAUGAAGCCGGAAUCGCUAGUAAUCGCGGAUCAGAAUGCCGCGGUGAAUACGUUCCCGGGUCUUGUACACACCGCCCGUCACACCAUGGGAGUCGGAAAUGCCCGAAGUCUGUGACCCAACCGCAAGGAGGGAGCAGCCGAAGGCAGGUCGGAUGACUGGGGUGAAGUCGUAACAAGGUAGC
rnacentral:rRNA from 1 species